rnacentral:rRNA from 1 species
CCUACGGGUAGCAGCAGUGAGGAAUAUUGGUCAAUGGGCGGAAGCCUGAACCAGCCACGUAGCGUGCAGGAUGACGGCCCUACGGGUUGUAAUCUGCUUUUAUACGGGAAUAACGCGCCUUACGUGUAGGGCUUUGCAUGUACCGUCUGAAUAAGGACAGGCUAAUUCUGUGCCAGCAGCAGGGGUAAUACGGAAGGUCCGGGCGUUAUCCGGAUUUAUUGGGUUUAAAGGGAGCGUAGGCCGCAUGUCAAGCGUGCUGUGAAAUGUUCGGGCUCAACCCGGGCCUUGCAGCGCGAACUGGCGUGCUUGAGUCCGCGGAAAGCAGGCGGAAUUCGUCGUGUAGCGGGGAAAUGCUUAGAUAUGACGAAGAACCCCGAGUGCGAAGGCAGCUUGCUGCAGCGGAACUGACGCUGAUGCUCGAAAGCGCGGGUAUCGAACAGGAUUAGAUACCCGUGUAGUC